UGAGCAAUCUGCCCUUCUCAUCGGAAUAAGCGUUGGAAACGACGUCUAAUGCCGAAUACGACCUCCUUUCGCAUGAUCGGAGGUGGAAAGCUCCGGCGGAGAAGGAUGGGCUCGCGGCCUAUCAGCUAGUUGGUGUGGGUAAUGGCCCACAAGGCGACGACGGGUAGCCGGCCUGAGAGGGUGACCGGCCACACUGGGACUGAGACACGGCCCAGACCUCCGUACGGGAGGNAG
rnacentral:rRNA from 1 species